GUGGCCAGAUCUGGUGCCGGUUUCCAGAGACUCACUGUGAAUGAGUUUGUCACCGGUUCAAUUCCGGUUGGUCACCCC
rnacentral:tRNA from 1 species